rnacentral:rRNA from 1 species
GAUGAACGCUAGCGGCAGGCCUAAUACAUGCAAGUCGAGGGGUAUGGGUUGCUUGCAACCCAGAGACCGGCGCACGGGUGCGUAACGCGUAUGCAAUCUACCUUAAUCAGGGGGAUAGCCCGGAGAAAUCCGGAUUAACACCGCAUGACAUUGAGUUGUGGCAUCACAGUUCAAUCAAAUAUUUAUAGGAUUAAGAUGAGCAUGCGUGACAUUAGUUAGUUGGUGAGGUAACGGCUCACCAAGACCACGAUGUCUAGGGGAUCUGAGAGGAUGACCCCCCACACUGGUACUGAGACACGGACCAGACUCCUACGGGAGGCAGCAGUAAGGAAUAUUGGUCAAUGGGCGCAAGCCUGAACCAGCCAUGCCGCGUGCAGGAAGACGGCCCUAUGGGUUGUAAACUGCUUUUGUACCGGAAUAAACCUUCUCUUGCGAGAGAAGCUGAACGUACGGUAAGAAUAAGGAUCGGCUAACUCCGUG